rnacentral:rRNA from 1 species
UACAGAGGUCUCAAGCGUUGUUCGGAUUCAUUGGGCGUAAAGGGUGCGUAGGCGGCGUGGUAAGUCGGUUGUGAAAUCUCGGAGCUUAACUCCGAAACUGCAUUCGAUACUGCCGUGCUUGAGGACUGGAGAGGAGACUGGAAUUUACGGUGUAGCAGUGAAAUGCGUAGAUAUCGAGAGGAACACCAGUUGCGAAGGCGAGUCCCUGGACAAAACCUGACACUGAGGCACGAAAGCUAGGGGAUCAAACAGG